CAUAGCCACGGGAAUACAGAGGGUGCGAGCGUUAAUCGGAUUUACUGGGCGUAAAGCGUGCGUAGGCGGCUUCUUAAGUCGGAUGUGAAAUCCCUGAGCUUAACUUAGGAAUUGCAUUCGAUACUGGGAAGCUAGAGUAUGGGAGAGGAUGGUAGAAUUCCAGGUGUAGCGGUGAAAUGCGUAGAGAUCUGGAGGAAUACCGAUGGCGAAGGCAGCCAUCUGGCCUAAUACUGACGCUGAGGUACGAAAGCAUGGGGAGCAAACAGGAUUAGAUACCCCCGUAGUCCCUGUCUCUUAUACA
rnacentral:rRNA from 1 species